rnacentral:lncRNA from 1 species
UCGAGUUUGCCUACAACAACAGUUAUAAAUACAGUAUCUAGAUGGCACCGUUUGAGGCUCUCUAUGGGAGGAGAUAUAGAUCCCCUAUUGGUUGGUUUGAGGCGGCUUUUAUAGGGUCGAAUUCAGUAUUCGAUGUGAUGGAGAAAGUUUAGUUGAUUAGAGAGAGUCUUAGUACAACCCAAAGCCAUCAGAAAUUAGAUGUGAGGAGAAGAGAUCUUGAGUUUUAAGUUUGG